GUUUCAAAACUCCUUCAGCCUCGUCUGGAAGCAAUACAUCCUUUUUGGGCAACAUCAGUGGGAAUGAAUGAAGUACAAACAUGCAGACAAGUUACAGGCAGAAUCAAGUUAAAACCAAUACCAAAACAUCUCAAGAGGCAUUUCCUUCCUCACUGCAAUACUAAUCAAUAUAAAAGCACAGAACUUGAGUUAAAAAAUGUCAAGUCUUCUCCAACAAAUAAUGACAUUAAAACAGCACCCAAGGAAGAACAAGAAUGGCUUGAUGGAAGUGAAAAUAAGCAGUUUGAAGAACAAGGGCAGCGUUGCCAAAGUAAGGAAAUGGAGGGGUUAAGAAACUUGCAUGAAAGUGCUGCUCCUCCUGAGGACAGUGAUGGUUGUGGACUGAAUCAGCAGAGACAGAGCGGGGACCUUGACAACCAGCAAUCUGCCACUAAGAAGAGUGAAGAAUAUUAUUCGGAACAGUUAAGAAGAAAAGAAAAGCAAUAUCAUAAAGAAGAAGUGAAACAAGAAGAAGUGACACAUAGAACACUAGAAAUGGAUGCGAGGACUUCAAAAAACAAUUUGACCCAGUUCCAAGAAUCAGAAGAUGAACAAAAGGCGGUGGUACAAAACACUGAGAAAAUUCAGGAUCAUCUGGAAAAGCAUGAUCAGGAAAAUCGUGAGUUGAAAGAUACAAUACUAAAGCAAGCAAGGGAAAUUAAAAAUCUUCAGGAAAUCCUUUUCAGACUAAUUUCAGUAGAUAUGAAACACCUGCAGCAGCAACAGGAUUACGUUGAGAAAAGGCAAUGUAAAUCAGAGGCAUCGCUGAGAGAUAUGGCACAGUUUUACCUUAAGUUAAACAGCAAGAUGCAGGAUAUAAUGAACAAGUUAGAUGAAAUCGUCAGAAAAUUCCAAGUAUCAGAAAAUCUACACCAAGGAGUGGUAGAAAAUGUAAAGAAGACACAAGAUUAUCUUGAACACUACAUUUCAAGGCUUCAGUCUGAAAUUUUGGAAAUGAAAGAUAUCGUCAAACUGCAUGCUGGCAGUAUUGAAGAGCUGCAGAAAAAUCUGAUAAGACCAAGUUCAUUGCAGACAUCGGAACACACCAGAAAGAAAGCUGUUCAGGAAGAAUCUGACAAAGAACUGGAGAAACCCAGGCAACUCCACGUACAAGUGGGAGAAACCUUAACCUGCAACCUGAAUAAGGCACAUGAGGAAUUAACAGUGGUCAGAACUGAAUUUCUUCAGGAGACAGAUAGGAAUGAACCUUUACCCAGCACUAGUACCAUGAGGCCUGCUGUACCGUCAUCCAGUGUUGGGAAUGUUCGUGGUGGUUUAAUGUGCAAAGGAAACCAUGUCCCACAAAGAAAGUUAAGAAUUCCUACCUCACAGCUACAGCUUUCACGUAACUGCACACUGGACUGCUCAUACAUGGUUUCACCAGAUGAUGCAGGAUGUUGUUGCAUGAAUUCAAAAAUUGAAAUCCAGAAUUUGAAGAAGGAAUUAAGUGACCUCAGGAGACAAUCUAAAGAUGAACAGCAACACAUAAUGCUGCUUGCUGAGUUAAAUCAAGCUCUGCAGGACAAACUGGAUGAAGAGAUGAAGAAAAAUGGUGAUUUAGGAGACAAGAUAACUCAGCCAGCUCUCUGCUGUGGUCCAGGAGUGCAGUGGAGGAAGGCCCAAGUGCUUGGGCCCUGCACCCCAUGGGAGACGAGGAGAAGCACCUGGCUCCUGCCUUCGGAUCAGCAUGGUGCGCCGGCCGCAGUGCACCAGCCGCAGCGGCCAUUGGAUGGUGAACCAACGAAAAAAGCAUCAUCUCAAAAAAGUUCCGAGUAUCUAAUGGAGAGUGAUGACAUUUCAAAAAGUAUACAAAAAGAACAGAGAAUCCAUGUUGGGAUAUCUACACUCUCCAAAAUGAAAGCUCCUCAGGAAGCCAUUUCUAAAGAAUUGGAGGAAUAUAAGCAACUCCUUCUAGAGGGAUUUGAAGCUUUGAUAAGCAAACAAGAUGAGAUCAUUCAGGGUGUAGAAGCUUUUUCAAAGCAAGUGAAUGAAGCUAAUGAAGUGUUAGCAGAGGUCAGAACUAAAAAUUUUCUCCUGGAGAAACAACAGACUGGAACAUUAACCAAGUCUGUUUCUACGCAGACUGUUUCUACGCAAACUUCAGUAGCGUCACAUAGCGUUGGAAGUCGUGCUAAUAGUUUCUGGCUCAGCAGAGAUCUUACUCCACAACAAAACUUGGAGACUCCUACUUCAGCAACUCAGGCUUCACAUCACAACACUGCAGAGUCUUUGGACACGUUUGCCCUUCAGGAUCUUGACACCUCAACUUUAUGGGAAAGAUGUUUUCAGAUCAUUGAAAAAUAUAGGAGUCAAGAAAAUUUGCCUUCAUGCCAGAAUGAAGAUGUGGAAAGCACAACACAAUUUUAAGUAGCAAAUGAGAUGGAGCUACUGAGGAACUUAAAAAGUGACCUAGGAGCCAACAAUGAGUCCAAUUUAAGUCAACAUGUCAAAAGAAUAUGUACACAUUUUAAAGAAAAAAUAUGCUCUGAAUUACAAUUACUGACCACUGCUAUGUAACACAUUUACCAUUUACUUAUGCUUUAUAUUAUAAAAUUUUACUGACCACUGCUUAUGUAACACACCUGUUAUUUCUUUUUAAAUAUAUUAUGUGGGAAAAUCCUCACUAACUGAAAACAUUUAGUGUUAUGUAUCUACAAUUGAAAUUUUGUAUUUCCAAUUUAUAUUUUUUGAAAGACAGAGAUAGUGGUAAGGGAGGGAGCAAGAAAAAGGGAAAGGGGAAAAGAGGGGGAAAACAGAGAGAUCCCCCUUCCAAUAGUACAGCACCCAUAUAUCUGCAGUGAAAUAUAGGUGGGCUGUGCUGAAGCCAGGAUCCAGGAAUUCAGUUCAGGCAUCCUACUUAUGUGGCAAGGAUCCAAUUACUUGUUCUAUCACUCGCCACUUCCCAGAGCACACAUUAUUGGAAGCUAGGAAUCAGGAUGGGAACCUGGUCUUGCUAGGGAUUCCACCAGGGAUGCAGGAUAUUUCAAACGGCAUCUUAACUUCUGUUCCCAAUGGCAGGCCAGUUGCAGCACAUGAAACUGUUUGUUGGGAUGUAUAACUAACUUAGCACAGAUUUUGCAAAUGAAAACCAGUAUGAUUAACUUUUACAAACUCAGUUGUCCAAAUGGUGGCCAUUAUACAGCACCCUGAAAACCAAGUUGAAUGGAAUACUUUAGUGGGAUUAAUUAAGGGCUUCUUUGAAUUUGCCAAUUUUUGCUACUACAUACAAACCUAAUGAUUUGGAUAGACAUCAUUUUGGUAUACUGAUACUCUGGCCAGUGUCAAUAUCAUUGCUUGGAUGCAAUAUAAUUUUAUAGUGCUACCAAAAUUAUGUAAUUUUAACUUUAGGCAUUGAUUCAUACACCUUCUUCAUGGAGAAGUUAUGUUUACCUAUGGCUUUCUGUGUUUCCUUUUUAGUUUUUAUUACCUUUUAGGAAACAAUCUUAAAAUUAAAAAAAAAUUAAGUUUUAGUACAAAUAAUUUGCCCUCUUAAAGAAAGUGAGAGUCAUCUGCUGACAUUAUGCCAUCAGCUCUGACUACUUUGGAAUAUAUUUCCUAUAAGUAAGGACAUACUAAAUACAAUAAAACACUCAGAAUCACGAAGUUAACACUGUUCUGUGUAUCCACAGAUUCUUUUCCAGUUUUGUUACAUGUCUUGUGAUGUCCUUGAUAAUAAGAGAAUCCCAUUCAGAUCCAUGAAUUUCUUUUAGUUGUUGCCUUUCUUAGAUUUCUUCAGUCUGGAGGAGUUCCUUCCUUUUCUUUGACAUUAAUGACCAUGGAUCUUUUGAAGACUAAAUUCCAAUCAUGCAGAAUGUCCCUGAUUGGAUAUUUUCUGAUAUUUCAGUAUAAUUCGGUUAGGAUUAUACAGUUUUUGUUAAGGGCAUAACAGAAGGGAUUCUGUGAUCAUUGCAUACUGUCAUGUAACCUACACUUUUGAUUUCUCCCAUGACUAGUGAUGUUGCUGAUGCUGUCUGUUGCAUUUCUCCUCUGUAGUGUUCCUUUUUUACAUUUCACUUAGUUUUAAUCAGGUUUCAUCAUUUGAGACUAAAUAUCUGUUCUUUCUCAAUUUUUUUAUGAUUCAAUUUUUGUUUUUUUUUUUUUACAAAACUUAUAUUUAAUAAAUAUAAAUUUUGAAAGUACAACUUUUGGGUUAUAGCUGUUUUCCCCCCCAUAACCACCCUUCGAUCCAAAGAUCAUCCCACCUGCUAGUCCCUCUCCCAUCUCAUUCUUCAUUAAGAUUAUUUUUAAUUAUCUUUAUAUACAGAAGAUCAACUUAGUAUAUACUAAGUAAAGAUUUCAACAAUUUGUACCCACACAAACACAUAAAGUAUAAAGUACUGUUUGAAGAAUAUUUUUACCAUUAAUUCUCAUAGUACAACACAUUAAACACAGAGAUCCUACAUGGGGAGUAAGUGCACAGGGACUCUUGUUUUUGAUUUAACAAUUGAUAUUCUUACAUUUAUGACAUCAAUAAUAACCUGAGGCGCUUGUCAUAAGCUGCCAAGGCUAUGGAAGCCUCUUGAGUUCACAAACCCCGACCUUAUUUAGACAAGACCAUAAUCAAAGUGGAAAUUCUCCCCUCCCUUCAGAGAAAGGUACCUCCUUCUUUGAUGGCCCAUUGUUUCCGCAGGGAUCUCACAGUGAUCUUUCAGUUAGGUCAUUUUUUGCCACAGUGUCUUGGCUUUCCAUGCCUGAGAAACUAUCAUGAACUUUUUAGCCAGAUCUGAAUGCCUUAAGGGCUGAUUCUGAGGCCAGAGUGCUGUUUAGGGCAUUUGCCAUUCUAUGAGUCUGCUGUGUAUACUGUAUACUGCUUCCCAUGUUGAGUCGUUCUCUCCUUUUUAAUUCUAUCAAGUAUUAUUAGCAGACACUGGUCUUAUUUAUGUGAUCCCUUUGACACUUAAUACUAUCUUUAUGGUCAAUUAUGAACUUAAACUGAUCACUUUAACUAGUAAGAUGGCAUUGGUACCUGCCAACUUAAUGGGAUUUGGAGUCCAUAGCACGUUUUUAGCUUUACCUUUAGGGGUAAGUCCAAGUGAGCCUCUGCCGAACUGUACAUCUCUUCCCUCUCUUAUUGCCACUCUUAUUUUUAACAGGGAUAAACUUUCAGUUGGAUUCUAACUGCUAAGAAUAAUUGCUUAUUAAAUAAAGAGAUUGACCAAUGGUAUUAAGUAGAAAAAUAAAAUACAAAAAGAAUAAAAUAGUAAGUUUUUCCUUGACAGUAAGGACAGAGCUGAUCAAAUCACUGUUCCUCAUAGUGUCAGUUUUCACUUCCACCAUUUUCAAUGUAGGUGCUUGGUUAGUUGUCACAGAUCAGGGAGAACAUGAUAUUUGUCCCUUUGGGACUGGCUUAAUUCACUCAGCAUGAUGUUUUCCAGAUUCCUCCAUUUUGUUGCAAAUGACAGGAUUUCAUUUCUUUUAUCGAUGAGUAGUAUUCUACAGAGUACAUAUCAAAUGAUUUCUUUAUCCAGUCUACUGUUGAUGGGCAUUUGGGCUGAUUCCAUGUCUUAGCUAUUGUGAAUUGUGCUGCAAUAAACAUUGAGGUGCAGAAAACUCUUUUAUUUGCCAAUUUAAUUUCCUUUGGGUAAAUUCCAAGGAGUGGGAUGGCUGGGUUGUAUGGUUGGGUUAUAUUCAGGUUUCUGAGGAAUCUCCAGUCUGACUUCCGUAGUGGCUUUACCAGUUUGCAUUCCCACCAACAGCGGGUUAGUGUCCCUUUUUCCCCAAAUCCUCACCAGCAUCUGUUGUUGGUAGAUUUCUGUACAUAAGCCAUUCUAUCUGGGGUGAGGUGAAACCUCAUUGUGGUUUUGAUUUGCAUUUCCCUGAUUGCUAGUGAUCUUGAACAUUUUUUCAUUUGUCUGUUGGCUGUUUGGAUUUCCUCUUUUGAAAAAUAUCUAUUGAGGUCCUUGGCCCAUCUCUUGAAUGGAGUGAUUGUUUCAUUGUUGUGGUGUUUCUUGAUCUCUUUGUGGAUUCUGGUUAUUAAUUCUUUAUUAGUUGCAUAACUUGCAAUUAUUUUCUCACAUUCUGUUGAUUGCCUGUUCACUUUAAUGACCUUUUCUUUCACAGUAUAGAAACUUCUCAAUUUGAUGUAAUCCCAUUUGUUAAUUUUGGCUUUGUCUACCUGUGCCUCUGGGGUCUUUUCCAAGAAGUCUUUGCUUGUGCCUAUAUCUUGCAGAGUUUCUCCAAUGUUCUCUAAUACUUUGAUGGUUUCAGGUUGUGGUUUUGAUCUUUAAUCCAUGUUGAGUGAAUUUUUGUGUAAGGAGUAAGGUAGGGGUUUUGCCUCAUACUUCUGCAUGUGGAAAUCCAGUUUCCCCAGCACCAUUUGUUGAAGAGACUGUCCUUGCUCCAGGAAUUGGUUUUAGCUGCUUGAUCAAAUAUAAGUUGGUUGUAGAUGUUUGGAUUGAUGUCUAGUAUUUUUACUCUGUUCCAUUGGUCUUGCCAUCUGUUUCUGUAUCAGUAUCAUGGUGUUUUGAUUAUAACUGCCCUGUAGUAUGUCCUGAAAUCUGGUAUUGUGAUGCCUCUGGCUCUGUUUUUGUUGUACAAGAUUCUCUGGCUAUUCGAGGUCUCCUGUGCCUCCAUGUGAAUUUCAGCAUCAUUUUUUCCAGAUCUGAGAAGAAGGUCUUUGGUAUUUUGAUUGGUAUUGCAUUUAAUCUAGAAAUUGCUUUAGGAAGAAUGGACAUUUUGAUUAUAUUGAUUCUUCCAAUCCAUGAGCAUGGAAGAUUUCCCCACUUUUUGGUAUCCUCUUCUCUUUCUUUAAAGUAAUUCUCAUCAUAGACAUCUUUGAUAUCCUUAGCUAAGUUUAUUCCAAGGUAUUUGCUUUUUUAUUGUCACUAUUUUGAAUGAGAUAGAUAGAAGUUCUUUCUCAGCCAUGGCAUUGUCUGUAUAUAGAAAAGAUGUUGAUUUUUGUGCACUGAUUUUAUAUCCUGCUACUUUGCCAAACUCUUCUAUGAGUUCCAAUAGUCUCUUAGAGGAAUUCUUUGGAUCCCCUAAAUAAAGGAUCAUAUUGUCUGCAAAGAGGGAUAAUUUUAAUUCUUCCUUCCCAAUUUGUAUCCCUUUAAUUUUUUUUUUAUUGCCUAAUGGCUCUGGCUAAAACUUCCAGUACUAUAUUGAAUAGCAAUGGUGAGAGUGGGCAUCCCUGUCUGGUACCAGAUCUCAGUGGAAAUGCUUUUCCCCAUAUGAUAUCAGCCUUGGAUUUUUCAUAAAUUACCUUGAUUGUGUUGUGGAAUGUUUCUUCUAAACCCAAUUUGUUUAGAGUUUUCAUCAUGAAAGGGUGUUGUAUUUUAUCAGAUGCUUUCUCUGCAUCUAUUGAGAUAAUCAUAUGGUUUUUCUUCUGUAGUUGGUUAAUGUGGUGUAUCAUCUUGAUUGAUUUGCAAACGAUGAACCAUCCCUGCAUACCAGGGAUCAAUCCCACUUGGUCUGGGUGGAUGAUCUUUCUGAUUUGUUGGUGCAUUCUAUUAGCCAGAAAUUUAUUGAGGAUUUUGGCCUCUAUCCAUCUGGGAAAUUGGUCUGUAAUUCUCUUGCCUGCAUCUUUUUCAGGUUCAGGAAUUAAGGUGACGCUGGUGUCAUAGAAAGAAUUUGGGAGGAUUCCCUCUCUUUCAAUUGUUUUAAAUAGUUUGAGGACAAUUGGAGUUAGUUCUUUAAAUGUCUGGUAGAAUUCAGCAGUGAAUUCGUCUGGUCCUUGGCAUUUCUUUGUAGGGAGGGCCUUUAUUAAUGAUUCAAUUUCUGACUUGCUUAUGAGUCUGUUUAGGUUUUCUGUGUCUUCAUAGUUCAAUUUAGGUAGGUUGUAUGUGUCCAGCAAUCUAUCCAUUUCUGCUAGAUUUCCCUGCUUGUUUGGCAUACAACUCUUUGUAGUAAUUUCUGAUGACUCCUUAUUUCUGUGGUGUCUGUUAUUACAUUCCCCUUUUCAUCUCUGAUUUUAUUUAUGUGGGUCUUUUUUUAGUUAGUUGAGCCAAUGGGGUGUCAAUUUUGUUUAUUUUUUCAAAAAAAACAGCUCUUCAUUUUGCUGAUCUUUUGUAAUUUUUUUGAAUUCAAUUCUUUUGAUUUCCUCUCUAAUUUUAAUUAUUUCUCUUCUACUAGUUUUGGGUCUGGUUUGCUGCAGUUUUUCUAGAUCCUCGAGAUGCAUUGAUAGCUCAUUUAUUUGGGGCCUUUCCAAUUUCUUGAUGUAGGCACCUAUUGAUAUAAACUUUCCUCUUAACACUGCUUUUGUUGUAUCCCAUAAAUUUUGAUAUGUUGUGUUAUCAUUUACUUCCAGAAAGCUUUUGAUUUCUGUAUGACCCACUGUUCAUUCAGGAGCAUGUUGUUCAGUCUCCAUGUGUUUGCAUAUGCUCUAGAGAUUCCUGAGUUGCUGAUUUCUAGCUUUAUUCCAUUCUGGUCUGAGAGACGCCUGUAUGAUUUUGAUUCUUUUGAAUUUGCUAAGACUUGCUUUAUGGCUUAGUAUGUAGUCAGUCCUAGAGUAGGUUCCAUGUACUGCUGAGAAGAAUUUAUAUUCUUUAAGUGCAGGAUGAAAAGUUUUAUAGAUAUCUGUUAGAUCCAUUUGAUCUAUAUGUCAAUUAAAUCUACUGUUUCUUUGUUGAUUUUCUGUCUGGUUGAUCUGUCCUUUGCUGAAAGUGAAGUAUUGAAGUUCCCCCACUACUACUGUAUUGGAGUCUUAGUCUCCUUUCAGUCUCUUAACAUAUCUAUUAAAUAUCCCGGUGCCUUGUAACUAUGUACAUAAAUGUUUAUAAUAGUUACAUCUUCCUGUUGGAUUUAUCCCUUAAUCAUUAUAUAGUGUCCCUUUUUGUUUUCUUUUAACAGUUUUGUUGUUAAAGUCUAUUUUGUCUGAUAUUAAGAUGGGCAUGCCAGCUCAUUUUCGUUUUGGUUGGCAUGGAAUAUCUUUUGCCAACCUUUCACUUUCAGUCUGUAUGCACCUUUGUUGGAAAGAUGUGUUUCUUGUAAGCUGCAAGUAGCUGGGUUUUGUUCCUUAAUCCAUUCAGCCAGUCUGCGAAUUUUAGCUGGAGAGUUGAGGCUAUUUACAUUCAUUAUGACUGUUGGUAAGUAGUGACUUGCCCUGUCAUUUUUCCAAAGAUAUUUCUAAUAUAUAUUUGAACUUCCUGUGAUCUUUUACUGAGAGAUUUUUUUUCCUUUACCUUCUUUUGUGUUGAUGACAGUGUUUCUUUGUGUAACACAUGUUAAGCAUCUUUUGCAGGGCUGGACGAGUGGUGACAAAUUCUUUCAAUUUCUGUUUGCUAUGAAAGGUCUUUAUUCCACCUUCAUUCACAAAUGAGAGCUUUGCAGGAUAUAAUAUUCUGGACUGGCAGUUUUUUCUCUUAGUGCUUGGGCUAUAUCUCGCCAUUCCCUCCUAGCCUGUAGGGUUUCUGAUGAGAAGUCUGCUGUGAGUCUAAUUGGAGAUUCUCUGAUGGUAAUCUGGCAUUACUCUCUUGCACAUUUUAGAAUCUUUUAUUUAUGUUUCACUGUGGUGAAUUUGAUUACAAUGUGUCAUGGAGAGUAUCUGUCCUGGUCCUAUCUAUUGGGAAUUCUGUGUACUUCCUGUACUUGAGGUCUCUUUCUCCAAACUUAUGAAGGUUUCUACUAGUAUCUCACUAAAAAGGCCUUCUAAUCCUUUUUCUCUCUCCAUGCCUUCAAGAAGUCCCAGAACCCGAAUGUUGGGUUUUUUAAUAGUAUCCUGUAGAUUCCCAAUAAUAUUUUUUAAUUUCUAAUUUCCUCUUCUUUUCUUUGGUUUGACUGUAUACUUUGCUGUGCUCUGUCUUCUAAGUCUGAUAUUCUCUCUUCUGCCUCACUGAUUCUGUUUUUAAGGCUCUCAACUGCAUUUUUUAUUUGUUCUUCUGAAUUCUUCAUUUCAUUUUGAUUUCUCUUAAAUAUCUCAAUUCCAUGUUCUAUUGGAUUCUUCAUUUCAUUUUGAUUCUUCCAAAGAUUUCAUUUUCUUGAGAGAGAUUUUCUUUCAUGUCCUGCAUGGAUUUCAAUAGUUCAUGCAUUUGUUUUUGAUUACUUCUAAGUAUUCUUAUCAUCAAGUUUUUGAGUUCCAUUUCUUGCAUUUCUUCUUUCUCAUCGACUUCAUUUCAUAAUCUUGUAUUGAAGUGUCAUGUUCUUUUUUUUUUUUUUUUUUUUUGGACAGGCAAAGUUAGACAGUGAGAGAGAGAGAGACAGAACGGUCUUCCUUCCAUUGGUUCACCCCCCAAAUGGCCACUAUGGCCAGCAUGUUGCGCCAAUUCGAAGUCAGGAGCCAGGUGCUUCCUCCUGUUCUCCUAUGUGGUUGCAGGGCCUAAGCACUUGGGCCAUCCUCCACUGCCUUCCCGGGCCACAGCAGAGAGCUGGACUGGAAGAGGAGCAUCCAGGACAGAACCAGCACCCCAACCAGGACUAGAACCUGGAGUGCCGGUGCCGCAGGUGGAGGAUUAGCCUAGUGAGCCAUGGCACUGGCCAAGUGUCAUGUUCUUUUGGGAGUAUCAUAUUGUCUUCCUUAUUCUUGUUUCUUGGAUUGUUUCAAUUGUGGUUUGGCCUUUGUGGAGAUACUCAUUGAUUUCUUCUCUCCCUCCCCCCCACUUCAGUGCCUUUUAUUGUUUUACAAUGACUUUGUAGAUAAUUGGAAUGUCUGAAUCUCUAGAGGCUUGUGGUGGGUGUGGCCAGAGAUCAAUGUUCAGUUUUUCAAGAUUAAGGGCAUGCCUAAGGUGACACCCUCAGGUUUGGCAUGGUAAAUCUUCCCUCCCUUUUAUUUUUUAAUCAAAUGGGAAGCAAUUCUGCUCAGCUGAGCUCUUCUCCUCGAUGGCAAUCAGUGCCUGAGUGCUAGCACGAUUGGGCAUAAUAUUCAUCUGCUCUUUUCCAAGGACCACACAAAGGAUCUGUUCAGUCCUCAGUAUAAGUUCAUAUUCCCCUGCAAUGUCUCUCCCGGGUAACCAGAGCUGUCUGAGCUUGCAGCAUCUGCCAAUGAGACUCAAAGUCUCAGCCGCACCUUGAGUUCUCCCACACACCCUCAGGUUUUUUUUCCACAGUCCCAGUUCAGAAGCAUCACACAGUCACAAGUUCCUAGCUGCCUGUUAUUUCUCCCUACCAGAGUCUGGAGUCCCCACUCAGCUGAUUGCUGGUUGCGGCCCAGAGCUGGCACAGCUGUUACAUAUGUCCAAAAUGGCGCUGACUCUGUUGCCUCCAUGUCUUUGUAAGGUGAUUAGAAACGUGUCUGUACUGUCCCUUUUAUUUUUUAUCUCCUCUAGUUAGGCUAGUGUACUUUCCCCCACAGGGCUUCAAGCCUCAUUCCCUCUAGGCCCUUCCUGCUGCUUGUUGGCCAGUGUCUCAGGCUACUGCAGUCUCAUCUCACCUCACUUUCCAGUGCUGGUGCCUAGGCUCUUGGCUAUUUGAAUUCCAAGCUGUGGGUGCCCAAGCCCUCCAUGUAGGUCCACUGUGUCCCUCUAAUUACAGAAGAGUUUCCUCUGCCAUUUUUUCCCUAACUCUUCCCUUAGACUACACUAUCACCACUUUUAUUAAACCAUCUUCAUCUGGGCUAGAUCAGUAAGCUCCUCCCUAUUCUGAAACCUUGGAACUGACUGACAAGCUUCCUUAAUGCAUAUGGUCUCAGCGCAGCAUUUUAAGAGCUCUCAAAUUUUCAACAUAUUUUUUUACUUCUAUCAGUAUAAAUCCAUGGGCUUUUUUUUCCCCCAAGGGUUCUAUAUAUUGACAGUUUGUUUCCUACCAGUUCCUGGAGGUAUUUUAUUUUAUUUUUCUGCUCCUACUCCUAGAACAAUAAUGAGAAAAAGUGAAUAUUAUAGGUAUUAAUGCAUCAUUGAAAUUUCAAAGGGAAAUAGUAUAUAUAUGUUGUAUUUGGGAUUUUUGUUUUGUUUGAUUUUUGUAGAUAGUCUUAGUGAAUUAGUGUUCUAUUGCUAUAUAACAUCAUCACAAAAUUACUUUCUCAAAGUCACAUGCAAUUGCAAUCUCAUAUUUUGUCUGAGUCCAUUCCUAGAGGCUAGUCCCAGUUCUUGACCUUGAGGACUACCUCAAAUCACAGGAUAAUCCAGUAUAACCUACUUUUGUACUAACUUUUUUUAAUUAAUGAUUUUGGAAUUGUAAAACAUCUGCAAAACUCUUCACAAUUCCCAUACUGUAAUCAUCAGAGGGAAGUCACAGAUCAUGCUCACACUCAGCAGAAGCCAACACAACUUGAGAAUACUAAGAGACAGAAACCACUGUCCCCACACUCUCAAGUGUCCACCUCAGCUACAUGGAGGAAGUUCCUUGAUCACAGUAGUUUUUUUAAAUUCUUACCACAAGUGAAGGUUAAAUGUUAUAAGAUGUUUAUUUUGCAUAAAUGUAGAUUUGUUUGAAAAUAGAAUUAGAGUUAAGCGAGGAUGGCUAAGAAAUGCAUCUUUGAUCAUCUUCAUGGAGUUUUAAAGAUUUGUUAUCUAAACUUAUGUUAAUGGUGGCUGGAAUCUCAAGGGUCUCAGGACUGAAAUGUCUGAGGCUCUGAACACCUCUUUGCUUUACCCACAGCAGAUUGGGAAAAAGAACAGUCUGUUUCUUUCACUCUGACACCAGUCAGCUUUUUGUGCUUUCUCAGUGAUCAGUGGAUUGUUAAAACUCAUCCAGCUUUCUAGACUUCCUACAGUUUGAACUGAAGUGUGUUUAUGUAUGAUACUAAAGGAAACACACAAGCCUGAAAAUACCCUGUCUGGAAAUAAUGAGACCUUGAAGAGACAUUAAUUAACUUCCUAUUUUAAUCUGUGGCAUCUAUGUAGCUUCUAAGUUCUUUUAAAGAAGAUUUAUUUAUUAUCUAUUUAGAAGAGCCAUAGCUCUUGAAGUUCUUUCCCAACAAAGCUUAAAUCUGUCAAGUGUGAUUUGUAAUCAAUUACAAAUGCGACAUGGACAGAAAGAUACAUAAGGAAUUUAAAAAUCAAUAUUUGUAUAUCCUUAAUGUUUCAGCACAUCUUCUCAUAGCUUAAUUCUUUUAUUACAGCUGAAACUGAGACCCUAAAUAAUGUAUUGAAUUUUAUAUACCAUCAGACUCCUGUCUCUAGCCUUCCUUCCUUACAUUGACUCGCUGAAUUGAGAGACUUUUAUAGCCAGCCCUGGAAGUUUAUUAUCAGAUAGCACCUUAAUGACUGGAAUAGACUCAAGGAGUUUCAUUUAGGGGAAUUUUAGGCCCAGAGCAAAAAGCAUUGAAGCCCACUGGCCAUCCAAACCCUGGUCUGCAGAGUUUGGCAUUACUGACUAGUGAGGAACUUCAGCAUGAUCUGAGCCUGUACCUAGAUGAGAUAACCACUGUGACUCCAGCCAGCCCCUUAUUGCCCGGCUGAAGAACAACAUACGGCUGUCCCUAUUCUACUCUCCUAAUAGUCUGACUCCCACCUUCUUACAGCCUCCUUUUAAAAAUUUCAAAACACCCUUAUCCAGCACAUUGGUAGUUCUGGAUUUAGAAGUCUUCUACCCCCUCAUCUGCUGAUAGACUGAACGGUAUCUUUUCUUACCCUCACAUCUUAUCAGCAUUUUGACUGAGCACUGGGGACAGGAACCAAGAACUUUCAGAAAUGGAAAAUUUGGGCAAAUGUGGCAGAUAGGCUGACACCCUUGUUGCUGCCAGGUACCAAUGGAUAGAUGGAUAGAACAAUUGGCUGUGGCAGUGCACCAAGGUCUACCCACUCAAGCUGUUGGAGGAGGGAGAGGCCACUUCAGUUGGUGUUAACAGUCCCUGCUUUUGAGGUUUUGCCUUCUGGGAGAAACAGGGACAAUCCCAGCAGCUGCCAGAGCCACUUGUUGCCCUGGGGAAAUUCAUACAUUAUGUUCCAUCUUUGUUUUUGUGGUUUUAAAAAUAUUUAUGUUAGGGGAGCUUUUACUAGUACUUCCUCUUCAGUGGCUCAGAAGGUUAGUCCAGCUUUCUCCAUGACAACAGUAGCUGUUUCUUGAGUGCACACUGAGUAGGUGGUGUCAAGUAGUACUGGGUUCUGAACUUAAAUGAUCUUGUGGAACUUUCACAACAACUUAGCCUGCUUCUUAGGCUUUAACCCCAGGGAGCUUCAUUUUUAUCAUCUCUAAUGCGAGAUUAAUAACACUUUCUUGGCUGACGCUAGGGAGCUCAAAGUUGCCAAGGAAUUCUGAGCUGAACCUUGAUUGAAUAAACAUUUUAACAACAGAUCCGAUUUCUUGGGCAAUGUAAUCUGGAACACGUGGUGGAGAAGAACGGUGUUUUGUUUGUUGGUGAGCUAUCUGCUGAGAAACAGAAAGUGUCACACUGAAAACCAAUAAAGGUCUAAACUGGAGGUUAAAUGCUGCUUGCUCCUCUCCCUAAAUAAAUGGCUGAGAAUUCUAUACAAAUAGUAUUGCUUCUUAGGAGGCCCUACUACUUGUAUUGCUGUGCUCCUGUUUGAUAUUAAGAAAACAAAGCAUCCCAAAAGCUGUGCAAAACCUGCUCAAAGACAUUUAAGACAAACAAGUGCUGUGUUUUCCUACGGUGUCUUUUACUUCCAGGUCUGGCAAGGCAGUAAUAUUUGACAACUAUCUGCUUGUAGCAAUUCUGUGUGACACAUACCUCACCUGAUUUUACCCUAAGAACCUGCGGGCUGCUCAUACAAGGAAUCCUCAGAAAAGUUCGUGGAAGAUACAUAUCACGAAAAAUCAUGUGUGGAUUUUGAAAUUCUUUUGCACCAAAAUAAAUUUAUCUUUUCAUUCUAAAAAAAAUAUUUAUGUUAAAGACAGAGUAAAAGAGAAAGAGAGAACUUCCAUCUGUUGAUUCACUUUCCCAAAUGGCUGAAAAGGCCAGGGCUGGGCCAGGCCAAAGCUAAGGCCCUAGAACUCCGCUGGCUCUCCCUUAUGGGUGCAGAGGCCACUGUACAUGGGCCAUCUGCUGCUUCUUUCUCAGGACCAUUAGCAGGGGGCUGAAUCAGAAGUGUAACAGACAGAGCUUGAACUGCUGUUCAUAUGGGAUGCCAGCAUUGCAGGGGGCUGCUUGCGCCACUGCACAUCACUGCCAGCUGUACCACGGUUCUUUUAAUCAGUUUUCCUUUCAUCGUUUUGACCAUCUUCUAGAAUGUAGUUUAAUUGUGGACUCUAUUCCUUGGCUUUCAGGUCAGUUUCUGUAUGCUCUUUUCCUCUCCAGUUCUGACUCUAGUAUGACUGGACAGCAAAUGUUUAUCUUAAAAUCCUGGAUGACAGGAUAACUUGAUUCUAUACUAGUGGUUUUACCCCUUGGUACCUGGCCAAGAAAACCAUUUGUGUUUCACUAAGGUAAUUUCUUGUGUUCUUUGCUUUCUUUGUUGAAUUCUCAUUGUUUACAAAGAGCUGAGUGUUAACAAGGAAGAUUGCUUUGGGUGUUUACUCAUUUUCCAAUAUUUGGUGAUCACUGUAAGUAUGACUACAUCAGGUCUAUAACUGAUUAACUCACUCUAAGUGGUUGGAUAUUAUUUCACAAUGAAAAGUGUCCUUAUUUUGAACAGUUACUUUGAGGGACUCCUUCCCAUCACUGGCCCAGAGAUUGAAUAGGGACAGUUUCAUAAACCUGUCAUAUAUGUUCUGAGACAUUGUAUCAACAAUUCUGAUUCUUCCUAAAACCCUAAGCAAUGUUCUUAAAUACAGAUUUCUGACUGCUUUAAAAUCAACGGAAUAGGUAAGAAUGUCCAAAACUUGGGGGGAAAAUCCUGGAACACCUAGAAAGUGUCUAAUGUAAAACAGGACAAAAAUUAAUCAGACUAAAUGAAUUAAUGACAUCUGGGGAUUUCCAUCUUUCAUUUAAAGUGUUGUUGGUUCUAAUAUUUCAAUGUUUCACCUUCUAGGUUCAGGAAAACUGUUCCGUGAUUUCAGUGGUUUACUGUAUUUUGGUAAAGGGGUGUUCUGUAACCAGAGAAGAAGUGUUUAUUUUCCACUCCCUCCAUGUAAUUGCUCUAACAUUCAAAAAUUUUUAUAAAUAUGGUAUAUGUGGGAGGGCAAUGUGAUUGUUUUCAUGAAUUCAUCAGAAUCUGUUCUCAUAACAGAAUAUAUUUGGAAACAUUGGCAUAUCUAAAUCAUGCAUAAAAUGCCUGGCUUGUAGGGUUUUCAGUCUUGCAGUGAGUAAAUGGACUUCUCAUAUUUUAGCAGAUCCAAAAAUUUCAAAAUACUAGACACUGUAGUUUUUAAAAAAAAUCUAGGUUUGUCAUAGAUUUGCCUUUUAAUUUGGAGAAUUUUCCAAGUGUGAGAUUAUAUGUCAAAGGAAAUUUAGUUACUGUAUUUAAAGCAAAUAGCCAAUCAACAAACUAUAACAUACCUGCUUUAGACUGUAACUCUGUUCAUUGUUUUUCGACUGCUAACUUGGAGAGUUUUCUGGGUCUGAGACUAACAUGGAUACUCAACCUUUCAUGCUGUACUUACACGAAUUGUCAGUUAUCAUGUCUACUAUUUGUAUCCCUAUUCAUUAUUUUUAAGAUGUCAACCUGAUUUAUCUUGCACUUGGUGUUUUCCUAUUUGAGUUGUGUGCCUACUGCCUGUAAGAAGUCUACAGAAGUACAAUUCUCAGCAGGAUAAUGCCUGGCACUUUGAGAUGAUGAUUGGAACCUACAGAAUAAACAAAACUAAGUUUAACAAUGGACUCCAGGUUACAGAUCGGGAACUCUUUGUGUAUCAAAACAGCUUCACAGGACAGGAAAAUCAAGGGUUGGAUAUGAAGUAGUAACUCUCCCAGAAACUUCAGAAUCAAUAGCACUGCCACAAGGGAGAGGAAUGCUAGUGUGUCAUCAUUGUGGAAUGAGGAGGCACCUGCAAGAUAAAGCUGUGCAAAGAUAAACUGGGCCAGAAUCCAUCAUGGUUCACUUCACAUGCAGUUAUCCAUAUUCUUUGAUCCCCUAUUCCUGAUUCCUCCUUCCUUGUAGCCUCCUUUAAAAUCCCCAAAUCAUCCUCUUUCAGCAGGGUGCCAAAUCCUGGGACAGAAGUAUGCUACCCCCUCAUCUUCAAUAGAUUAAAUUGUCUAUUUCUUUUAUGCUUAAA